rnacentral:ribozyme from 14 species
AAAAAAAAAAAAAAAAAGGAAAAAGGAAAGGAAGGUCUGAUGGUUGC